CGGAAAGGAAAGUGUCCUAGGUCUAGACGGUCCACUUCUGUGUCUACACCGGGGACAUUUGCCAGGUGGUUUUAAAUCAGUCCUGCUAACCCGGGUGUGAAGGGUUUCCAUCGUGGCGCGGGCUGUAACGGGCCAUCUCUGCGGCCUUGGCAAGUUGGGCCAUUGGUGUAGUUGGGCCAGAUUUAGAGCCAGGCAGAAAAUGCGCCCCCACCCAGUCCCGUUAGCCAGACAGGUAAGGCUGGUGCCAGGUACCUCAGUACAUGUACCUGAUUGUUAGCCCCAGGGUCCGCCCCACAAAAGCCCCUGCCUAGCCAGGCCAUCCAGUCACCUCUUUGCAACUCCUCAUCCUGACAGGCACAAAGCAUGGUAGGUAUCCCAAAGCCCAGGGCCACCCUGGCUCAUGACACCUGAGUCCUUUCGAAAGACACAAUUUCCCUCUCUCUCUCUCAUAUGUUGGAAACUAUGCCAAAGGAGGGUGGGCGUUCUCUUAGAGAGUGAGGAGACUCUGAACAAAAUAGUGGGAACAAGUUGUUUUAAGCACCUGUGUUCACUGUGCUUUUAAGGGACAGAUACUGAUAACCUCUUAGAUACUGAUAACCUCUUAGCUACAGCUCACGAAAGCUUAUGCUCUAAUAAAUUUGUUAGUCUCUAAGGUGCCACAAGUACUCCUUUUCUUUUUGCAAAUACAGACUAACACAGCUGCUACUCUGAAACCUGUCAUACUGACCUCUGUUACCUGCACUCCGGAAAUUGACUCCAGGGGGAAAUAGCACCUCUGUAUCUGAAAGCAGAUUUUCUCUAUAUAUAUAUGUAAAGUUAAAUUUCACUGCAAAGUGCUUCCCAAGGGAUAUAGCUGAAUUGCUACAUUGUAUAUCAUGCAGGGGUGGUGCAUAGGAAAGCAGAUUUUUGGAUCUAGAUGGAUUAGAGUCCCUGCACCUUUUGAUAAAUAUAGCUCUGUAUAAAUAAAGGUUAAUUACUAUAGUA